rnacentral:rRNA from 1 species
AGUCAAUAGAUACCCCGGUAGUCCACGCCGUAAACGAUGUCGACUUGGAGGUUGUGCCCUUGAGGCGUGGCUUCCGGAGCUAAACGCGUUAAGUCGACCGCCUGGGGAGUACGGCCGCAAGGUUAAAACUCAAAUGAAUUGACGGGGGCCCGCACAAGCGGUGGAGCAUGUGGUUUAAUUCGAUGCAACGCGAAGAACCUUACCUACUCUUGACAUCCAGAGAACUUAGCAGAGAUGCUUUGGUGCCUUCGGGAACUCUGAGACAGGUGCUGCAUGGCUGUCGUCAGCUCGUGUUGUGAAAUGUUGGGUUAAGUCCCGCAACGAGCGCAACCCUUAUCCUUUGUUGCCAGCGGUUAGGCCGGGAACUCAAAGGAGACUGCCAGUGAUAAACCUGGAGGAAGGUGGGGAUGACGUCAAGUCAUCAUGGCCCUUACGGAGUAGGGCUACACACGUGCUACAAUGGCGCAUACAAAGAGAAGCGACCUCGCGAGAGCAAGCGGACCUCAUAAA